CUGUUGAAUUCAUGUAUACACCAUUUGACUGAAAAAGACAAUGUAUUUGCUGAUACUGAUGUUGAUUCCGCGUGCGCUAUAUCAGCUGUCAAGAACUUUGUGCAAAAACUUUUGUUUCAUUCGCGAACAGUUAUUUUUCAACAAAAUUUCUGGCACCGCUGAACCUCACAACAGCAUGAUGAAAGUGAACGCGAUCUCAAGAAUUUUAUAGUUGUUAUUAUAUAUAUUCCUCGUGACAAGUCAUAAGAAAAUGGGCCGUAAAAAAGGAGUGUGUGGUAAAAAACGCAUCCAGCAACUUGCAGUUGACAAAAAUUCAAUCUAUACAGCUCAAAAUAUUCCGGAACUGAAGCGUUCUGCGACUCCGAAUGAUUUUGAGGAAAACCCCCAAAUACAGGGAACAGCUCAACAUUUGCACUGUUCUUCGGAAGUCAUCAUUGAAGCAACAGAGAUAGAAAUUGAUUCAUCUCUUGAUGCAAAUAAAAUUGAAUUUGAUGCUCCUCUAAUUGUCGUCGAUUUUCAUGAAGAACAUUCAGCACCGAUGAUAUCUGAGCAGUGUUUAAAUGAUGAUUGUAAUGGUUUGUCAAUGCAAGUGAACAAAUUAAAAGAAAAGAAUAAAAAAUUGAAAAACAAAAUAAAGAGUUCAAAGAUGCAAACAAUAACACACAGAAGGCCUUGGAAAAGUUAACAAAAGUGAUGAAAAAAAAAAAAGCAAAACGAAGAGCUCAAAAACGCAAAUCUUCGCUUACAAAACUCUUUAACAUCAAAUUUAAU